UGGGUGAGGGGCUUCCUCCCGGGCGGGCUAGAGUCUGCCCAGCAACUAGUGAUGUAUUUCAAAUUGGUUGGCUGACAGCCAACAGGUGCUGGCCUCCACUGGACCAGGUAAAUGAGGUCACAAGGGCUAUAUAAGUUAAGGACUGCUCAGGAGGUGGGGGCAGCAGCCAUGAGGGAUACUCAGAGAUAGAGAAGAGCUGUACCAUCUGAAACCUGUUCUCUCUCUCAAAACUCAUGAUCAAGGAACUGCCUGCCUCCAGAGGGAAUCUCCACCUGCCUCUGGAUGAUACUUAUCUGCCUUUGGGAUCGGUGCAUCUUGACUGAAUUGUUCUAAGAGAAAGAAGAGAGAGCACUACAGGAAUGGAAACAAUUCCAGUUUAUAAGAGGCAACUUUAAAGGAAGCAAGCACAAAGCAAAGAA